ensembl:lncRNA R3HDM2-DT R3HDM2 divergent transcript
AGCAGCCCUGCGGGGCCUACCGCCUGCCGCACGCACUCCCGCCGGCGCGCGCGCACUCGCACUCGCUCGCUCGCCCUCUCCUCCUUCCGCGUUACCUGUGUCAGGACACCAAUCCGGAGUCACUGGGAGCCUCGGUCCUCCUUAAACCCUUCAAGUCUGUCAGAUAGAAUACCCUGGAUUUCAAUAUAAUACUAAUAGUGAUCAUUCUAAAGUAAUUUCCAUUUACAGAGCACUUUCACUUAGGGCAGUAACUCCUGUACCAAAAGAACGUACACUCGGUAUUUGUUGCAUACGUGGAUAACUAUAGUUGAGCAGUGCCAUGACACAGAAUGAAAGCCUGAAAUGUUUCUGAGACAAGUGCAAGAACUGAAGAACAACAACCAAGAAUACCUGGAUUUAAAACCUAUACUCCUGGCCAGGCACGGUGGCUCACGCCUGUAAUCCCAGCAUGUUGGGAGGCCGAGGCGGGUGGAUCACAAGGUCAGGAGUUCAAGACCAGCCUGAACAACAUGGUGAAACCCCGUCUCUACUAAAAAUACAAAAAUUAA